UAGGGAAUCUUCCGCAAUGGGCGAAAGCCUGACGGAGCAAUGCCGCGUGAGUGAUGAAGGUCUUCGGAUCGUAAAACUCUGUUAUUAGGGAAGAACAAAUGUGUAAGUAACUAUGCACGUCUUGACGGUACCUAAUCAGAAAGCCACGUCUAACUACGUGCCAGCAGCCGCGGUUAUACGUAGGUGGCAAGCGUUAUCCGGAAUUAUUGGGCGUAAAGCGGGCGUAGGCGGUUUUUUAAGUCUGAUGUGAAAGCCCACGGCUCAACCGUGGAGGGUCAUUGGAAACUGGAAAACUUGAGUGCAGAAGAGGAAAGUGGAAUUCCAGGUGUAGCGGUGAAAUGCGCAGAGAUAGGGAGGAACACCAGUGGCGAAGGCGACUUUCUGGUCUGUAACUGACGCUGAUGUGCGAAAGCGUGGGGAUCAAACAGG
rnacentral:rRNA from 1 species